GAACGCUUUAGCUACGAGGCUUAACACAUGCAAGUCGGCGGGGCAGCAUGACGAUUGCUGCAAUUGUUGAGUGGCGACCGGCGCGACGGGUGAGUAACGCGUAUCCAACCUUCCCCAUAGUAGGGUAUAGCCCGGCGAAAGUCGGAUUAAUCCCCUAUGUUGUUUGAAGCGGACAUCUAAUUCAAACCAAAGAUUCAUCGCUAUGGGAUGGGGAUGCGUCUGAUUAGGUUGCAGGCGGGGUAACGGCCCACCUGGCCGACGAUCAGUAGGGGUUCUGAGAGGAAGGUCCCCCACACUGGUACUGAGACACGGACCAGACUCCUACGGGAGGCAGCAGUGAGGAAUAUUGGUCAAUGGGCGCGAGCCUGAACCAGCCAAGUAGCGUGCAAGGAUGACGGCCCUACGGGUUGUAAACUGCUUUUAUGCGGGGAUAAAGUGCGGCACGUGUGCCGUUUUGCAGGUACCGCAUGAAUAAGGACCGGCUAAUUCCGUGCCAGCAGCCGC
rnacentral:rRNA from 1 species